rnacentral:misc_RNA from 1 species
GGUGGAGGCAGCACCAGUGUUGGCUGGGGCACCACCAGAUGCGGUGGAGGAGCCGGAUGCCUUGGCAGUGCUUGAAGCACCAGACUUGGUAGAGCUGAGGGUGGCAGAGCUGAUGGUGGUGUUGGUGCCAGCCGAGGUUGAAAUGGAGGCAGAGGCGCUGGUGGUGAGGGUUGACGCGGCAGAGGCAGCAGAAGAAGCAGAUGAGAGUGCGCUGGAGAUGGCGGACGAAAGAGCGCUCGAGAUGGAAGCAGAGGCUGAAGCAGAAGCGGAGGCUGAGGCGGAGGCUGAUGGGGACGCGUUGGAGCCAGAGAUGGGGAACUGCUUGGAGUAGUUGUCCGAGCUGCCCUGCUUGAUCUGG